CUCCGACCUCAGAUCAGACGAGAGUACCCGCUGAAUUUAAGCAUAUCACUAAGCGGAGGAAAAGAAACUAACUAGGAUUCCCCUAGUAAUGGCGAAUGAAGCGGGAAGAGCCCAGCACCGAAUCCCGCAGCCUUGCGCUGCAGGGAACUGUGGUGUUUAGGACGCCUAUUGCUGCAGCGUUCGGGUGCCCAGGUCCUCCUGAUCGGGGCCUCUCCCAGAGUGUGUGUCAGGCCUUUACUGGCACCCGACGCAGUGGCUCUGAACGUCCUUGGAGUCGGGUUGUUUGAGAAUGCAGCCCAAAGCGGGUGGUAAACUCCAUCUAAGGCUAAAUACCGACACGAGUCCGAUAGCG
rnacentral:rRNA from 1 species